AGAGUUUGAUCCUGGCUCAGGAUGAACGCUGGCGGCGUGCCUAAUACAUGCAAGUCGAACGCACUGAUUUUAUCAGUGAGUGGCGAACGGGUGAGUAAUACAUAAGUAACCUGCCCUCAUGAGGGGGAUAACUAUUAGAAAUGAUAGCUAAGACCGCAUAGGUGAAGGGGUCGCAUGACCGCUUCAUUAAAUAUCCGUAUGGAUAGCAGGAGGAUGGACUUAUGGCGCAUUAGCUGGUUGGUGAGGUAACGGCUCACCAAGGCGACGAUGCGUAGCCGACCUGAGAGGGUGGACGGCCACACUGGGACUGAGACACGGCCCAGACUCCUACGGGAGGCAGCAGUAGGGAAUUUUCGGCAAUGGGGGAAACCCUGACCGAGCAACGCCGCGUGAGGGAAGAAGUAUUUCGGUAUGUAAACCUCUGUUAUAAAGGAAGAACGGUAUGAAUAGGAAAUGAUUCAUAAGUGACGGUACUUUAUGAGAAAGCCACGGCUAACUACGUGCCAGCAGCCGCGGUAAUACGUAGGUGGCGAGCGUUAUCCGGAAUCAUUGGGCGUAAAGAGGGAGCAGGCGGCAAUAGAGGUCUGCGGUGAAAGCCUGAAGCUAAACUUCAGUAAGCCGUGGAAACCAAAUAGCUAGAGUGCAGUAGAGGAUCGUGGAAUUCCAUGUGUAGCGGUGAAAUGCGUAGAUAUAUGGAGGAACACCAGUGGCGAAGGCGACGAUCUGGGCUGCAACUGACGCUCAGUCCCGAAAGCGUGGGGAGCAAAUAGGAUUAGAUACCCUAGUAGUCCACGCCGUAAACGAUGAGUACUAAGUGUUGGGGGUCG
rnacentral:rRNA from 1 species